UACGUAGGGGGCAAGCGUUGUCCGGAUUUAUUGGGCGUAAAGAGCGUGUAGGCGGCUUGGUAGGUCCGCUGUGAAAACUCGAGGCUCAACCUCGAGACGUCGGUUGAAACCGUAUGGCUAGAGUCCGGAAGAGGAGAGUGGAAUUCCCGGUGUAGCGGUGAAAUGCGCAGAUAUCGGGAAGAACACCCGUGGCGAAGGCGGCUCUCUGGGACGGUACUGACGCUGAGACGCGAAAGCGUGGGGAGCGAACAGG
rnacentral:rRNA from 1 species